rnacentral:rRNA from 1 species
AUUGAACGCUGGCGGAAUGCUUUACACAUGCAAGUCGAGCGGCAGCACGGGGGCAACCCUGGUGGCGAGCGGCGAACGGGUGAGUAACACAUCGGAACAUGCCCAGUCGUGGGGGAUAACACUUCGAAAGAAGUGCUAAUACCGCAUACGUCCUGAGGGAGAAAGCGGGGGAUCGCAAGACCUCGCGCGAUUGGAGUGGCCGAUGUCAGAUUAGCUAGUUGGUGGGGUAAAGGCCUACCAAGGCAACGAUCUGUAGCUGGUCUGAGAGGAUGAUCAGCCACACGGGGACUGGACAACGGCCCGGACUCCGACGGGGGGCAGAAGUGGGGAUUUUUGGACAAGGGGGCCAACCUGGACCCCGCCAUCCGGCGUGAGUGAAGAGGGCCUUGGGUUUGAAAAGCUUUUCGGGCAGGAAGGAAGCGGUGGCCUCUAAAAUAGCUGGAAAAGGAGGGAACCUAAAAAAGAAACACCGGCUAACUACGCC